UGAUAUUAACAUAUAAAAUAUGAAUAAUUAAAUAUUAUUAAUAAUAUAUUUUUUAGUUAUGAAUUAAAUCUAAAAAUAUAUUAAAUAAAAACUAAUAACAUUAAAAGAAAAAUUUCAGGCCAGGUAGAGGAAAGCCAGGAUUUGAUCUCCAAGCCUUAGACAGUCCUGAAUGCUCCAAAUUUGCAGACCCAACCAAACCUGCUUGGCUUAAAUUUGUGGGCGGGUUUAGUGGUGUGGCGUAACGAAACGGG
rnacentral:lncRNA from 1 species